GCUGGGAUAGCUCAGUUGGUAGAGCAUCGCUCUGAAGAAGCGGGGGUCCCCGGUUCGAGCCCGGGUCCCAGCA
rnacentral:tRNA from 1 species